ACCUGAAGUAGAGGUGCGAUUAUUAUAAGUAUCUUCUUUGAGCUGACUGCGUUGAUAAGAAGGGAAAGGAAUAACCGCCGAAAUCAAUCAAGCGUCAUCUUGAUUGGUUGGGAUCGUUACCGAAAGGGACGAUACUGUCAUAGUAAUUAUUUUGUUUAACUAUGGAGCGCUACGAGUUAG
rnacentral:ncRNA from 1 species